GAAUAAAAAUAUUCAUAUGCUGCAUACUUUUAGGAUGAAAUACGAAAUUAAAUUUCAUCCUAAAAGUAUGCAGCAUAUGAAUAUUUUUUC
rnacentral:pre_miRNA from 1 species